rnacentral:rRNA from 1 species
CCUACGGGAGGCUGCAGUCGAGAAUCAUUCACAAUGGGGGAAACCCUGAUGGUGCGACGCCGCGUGGGGGAAUGAAGGUCUUCGGAUUGUAAACCCCUGUCAUGUGGGAGCAAAUUAACAAGAUAGUACCACAAGAGGAAGAGACGGCUAACUCUGUGCCAGCAGCCGCGGUAAUACAGAGGUCUCAAGCGUUGUUCGGAAUCACUGGGCGUAAAGCGUGCGUAGGCUGUUUCGUAAGUCGUGUGUGAAAGGCGCGGGCUCAACCCGCGGACGGCACAUGAUACUGCGAGACUAGAGUAAGGGAGGGGGAACCGGAAUUCUCGGUGUAGCAGUGAAAUGCGUAGAUAUCGAGAGGAACACUCGUGGCGAAGGCGGGUUCCUGGACAUUAACUGACGCUGAGGCACGAAGGCCAGGGGAGCGAAAGGGAUUAGAUACCCGAGUAGUC